rnacentral:rRNA from 1 species
GACGAACGCUGGCGGCGUGCCUAAUACAUGCAAGUUGAGCGAUGAAGAUUGGUGCUUGCACCAAUUUGAAGAGCAGCGAACGGGUGAGUAACGCGUGGGGAAUCUGCCUUUGAGCGGGGGACAACAUUUGGAAACGAAUGCUAAUACCGCAUAACAACUUUAAACAUAAGUUUUAAGUUUGAAAGAUGCAAUUGCAUCACUCAAAGAUGAUCCCGCGUUGUAUUAGCUAGUCGGUGAGGUAAAGGCUCACCAAGGCGAUGAUACAUAGCCGACCUGAGAGGGUGAUCGGCCACAUUGGGACUGAGACACGGCCCAAACUCCUACGGGAGGCAGCAGUAGGGAAUCUUCGGCAAUGGACGAAAGUCUGACCGAGCAACGCCGCGUGAGUGAAGAAGGUUUUCGGAUCGUAAAACUCUGUUGGUAGAGAAGAACGUUGGUGAGAGUGGAAAGCUCAUCAAGUGACGGUAACUACCCAGAAAGGGACGGCUAACUACGUG